CAUUAUGAAGCUGAAUUAGCACUAGCCUUUUAAGCUAGAGAGUGAGAGAUAGUAACCCUCUCCAUAGUGA
rnacentral:tRNA from 1 species